GCGUCCGUAGCUCAGUUGGUUAGAGCACCACCUUGACAUGGUGGGGGUCGGUGGUUCGAGUCCACUUGGACGCACCA
rnacentral:tRNA from 3 species